ACGAGCCACAUGCAGGGAAACUUGCACGUGUGGUUCUGCCCGGGGACCCCGGU
rfam:Nicotiana attenuata strain TT chromosome 7, whole genome shotgun sequence.